AUUGCUUCCCCUGUCCUUCCUUUAGCUGUAACUCCGGCGGGCGUGUUGGGUGUGUCGUUUUAGGCUCUGUGACCCAGGAGCAAGACGCAAUAAGCGGGUGCAGUGGAGGUAGAAACGGGAAAUGCAGUACCCUUUCCGGAAGCUACUCCGCCCCUCGGUGAGUGUUAGAUUCCCCCCCCGAACUACAAUUCCCAGAAUGCUGUUCGAGCAUGCCCGAAGGCGGAACCAGAGUGUCGCCAUGCAACUGUUCCUUGGUUGUUUCCGAUUGGUUGCCCGGACUUCUCGCGGCUAAACUAAUUUUGGCUCCAAGGCGGCGUGAAGAGUGUGAUUCUGUUCAGCGACCGUGAUUCUGUUCAGCGACCAUGAUGUUGAGCCCCUAAUUGAGAGUCUGUUACCACUAUUAAUAGCUACUCUGUUCGGGCCCUACACAUAACGGUGUAUCUAAACCUCUCUACAAUUUUAUGGACAGAGUCUUGCUGUGUCGCCCAAGCUAGAGUGCAGUGGUGUCAUCUGGGCUCAUUGCAACCUCCGCUUCCUGGAUUCAAGCAAUUCUCAUGCCACAGCCUCCCAAGUAGCUGGGACUACAGAUGGAGUCUCACUCUUUUGCCCAGGCUGGAGUGCAGUGGCACGAUCUUGGCUCACUGCAACCUCUGCCUCCCGAGUUCAAGCAAUUCUCCUGCCUCAGCCUCCUGAGUAGCUGGGGCUACAGGUGCGUGCCACCACACCUGGCUAAUUUUUUUGUAUUUUUACUAGAGAUGGGGUUUCACCGUGUUAGCCAAGAUAGUCUUGAUCUCCUGACCUCAUGAUCCGCCUGCCGUGGCUUCCCAAAGUGCUGAGAUUACAGGCAUGAGCCACCGUGCCCAGCCCGGCAUAGACUUUUUGAGGCUGUGCAUUCAGUCUCCUUUGCAGUUUUGCUGCUCUUACCGUUGAAUCCUGGGCCUGAUUUUUCAGCAUAUAUUUCUCUACAGCUACAGGAAAUGAGGAUCGUUUUCUUUUCAUUUCCCCCGCUUUUUUUGUUUAUUUAGUUUUUCCCCCAAAGUAUAACUCACAUGCAGCAAAGUAAACACAUCUAAACGUAGAGCUUGAUAUAUGUUUAUGACAUACUUCUACACCCUUGUAACUACUGCUCAAUCAAGUUGCAGACCAUUUCUAGCAUUUCAGAAGGCUUCUUCAUGCCUUCCCACAAUCAGCAUUUCCCCCACAAUGGUAUCACUAUUUUACUUCUUUCACCAGAAAUUCAUUUUCCCUAUUUAACCUUACCUAAAUGGAUUCAUGGCUUGUGAUCAUGAUGUCUGGGAGAUACGUGCAUGUUGUGCAAAGCAGUAGUUCUUUUUUUUUUUUCUGAGAGUCUCACGUUGUCACUCAGGCUGGAGUGCAGUGGUGCGAUCUCGGCCCACUGCAACCUUCGCCUCCUGGGUUCAAGUGAUUCUCCUGCAUCAGGCUCCUGAGUAGCUGGGACGACAGGCAUGCGCCACCAUACCCGGCUAAUUUUUGUAUUUUUAGUAGAGACAGGGUUUCACCAUGUUGACCAGGCUAGUCUCGAACUCCUGAUCUCAAGUGAUACACUUGCCUCGGCCUCCCAAAGAGCUGGGAUUACAGGCAUGAGCCACUAUGCCUGGCCCAAAGCAGCAGUGCUCGUUAGUUGCUGUUUAGCAUUACACAGUAUAUUACGACUUAUUUAUUUAUUCUCCUAUCGAUGGGUAUUUGGGCUAUUUUCAGUUUGUGCUAUUAUGAUAAAACGACUAUGAAAAUUCUUCUUUUUUCUUUUUCUGAGACAGGGUCUCACUCUAUCGACCAGGCUAGAGUGUAGUGGCGUGAUCUCGGCUCAUCACAACGUCUGCCUCCCAGGUUCAAGCAAUUAUCUCACUUCAGCCUCCUGAGUAACCGGGACUACAGGUGCUCGCCACCACACUCGGCUACUUUUUGUACUUUUUAGUAGAGACAGGGUUUCACCGUGUUGCCCAGAGUCUCGCUCUGUCACCCAGACUGGAGUACAGUGGCAUGAUCUCGGCUCACUGCAACCUCUGCCUCCCAGGUUCAAGCGAUUUUCCUGCCUCAACCUCCCGAGUAGCUGUGAUUACAGGCAAGCACCACCAUGCACGGCUAAUUUUUGUAUUUUCAGUAGAGAUGGGGUUUUGCCAUGUUGGCCAGGAUGGUCUCGAACUCCUUACCUCAGGUGAUCUGCCUGCCUCGGCCUCCCAAAGUGCUGUGUGAACCACUAUGACAGGCCUCGGAGUAUCCACUGCCAUGGAGGACUCUUAUUUUUAUAGUGGGCAGCUACAUAACAUGAGUAUGUUGAUUUCUUUUUUUUUUUGAGACAGUGUCUUACUCUGUCCCCAGGCUGGAGUGCAGCAGUGGCACAAUCUUGGCUCACUGCAACCUCUGCCUCCCAGGUUCAAGCUAUUCUCCUGCCUUAGCCUCCUGAGUAGCUGGGACUACGGGUGUGCACCACCGUCUCCAGCUAAUUUUUGUAUUUUUAGUAGAGAUGGGGUUUCACCAUGUUGGCCAGGCUAGUCUUGAUUUCCUGACUUCGUGAUCCACCUGCCUCGGCCUCCCAAAGUGCUGGGAUUACAGGCGUGAGCCACCGCGCCCGGCCGAGUAUGCUGAUUUCUUUUAUCAAGAGUUUAAAAGCAGCUAACCAAAGCGAAGCCAUUCUAUAAUUCAUUUUAAAAAUAAUUUUUAUGAUGACUGUUGCAACCUCUUCCAGUGCUAGAAUACCACAUAUUCUUUGUCUUCUGCCUCCACCACGUUCCAAUCAAAUGUAGACAGUGGCAAUCAGGGAAGCCAUUUUGUGAAGCUACCAGAGAGUAUAGCCCUCUCACCUGUUACCAGUGAUGGAUUUCUUUUUGCUGCCUGACCAGUGGGUAAUCCAGGUUUAGAAUCCUGUCUCGAGAGCAUUCUUUCUAUGGCCACUUCUGUGGCCACACUUGCUUCUUCUGGGUUUCCCCCAAAGCAGAGCCUGGGCCUAGGGCUGCAUGCAGGUGCUUGAUUUGGUAUGCGAUUCCAGGGAGCAGGAGUGAGGGGCCAAGGAAAGUGAAGUCAGGAAGGAGAAAAAGGCAAUGCUAGACUGCAUUAUUGGGUUGGCCCUGUUGCAGGAGAUUGGUGUUUAUUUCUGCUGACACCUGCAGAUCUCUAUCUGAGGGACAAAAGAGAAAGCAGUCUCCCCACUGGUGGUGAACACUUCUGGGUGCCUCAGUCAGUCCCAGUGGGCUCCUGCAUUGUCCUACACCAAGGCACCACUAAAGACCAUGGGCAGGAAUCAAGAGAGUGUGACCCACUCUCUCUCUCUCUCUUUUUUUUUUUUUUUUUUUUUUUUUGAGAUUCAGUCGUGCUGUGUCACCCAGUUUGGAGUGCAAUGGUGCAAUCUUGGUUCACUGCAGUCUCUGACUCUGGAUUCCUGGAUUCAGGCGAUUCUCGUGCCUCGGUCUCCUGAGUAACUGAGACUACAGGCACCCACCACCAAGCCUGGCUAGUUUUUGUGUUUUUAGUAGAGAUGGGGUUUCGCCAUGUUGACCAGGCUGGUGUGGAACUCCUGACCCCAGGUGAUCUGCCCGCCUCGGUCUCCCAAAGUGCAGGGAUUACAGGCAUGAGCCAACGCGCCCGGCCUGCCCACUCCUCAGGUGAGAUACCGAGAUAGAAAAAGAGUAAAAGUCUAUGUGGAAUCAUUUGCAUCACAACCAGAUGUGAGAAAGGAGAGGCGCGCAAAAGCUUUCCAAUGCAUGUAUUGAUACAUGCAGCUCCUUACACCCAAGGGCAACAAUGCAGCCAGGUACUGAAGUCAAGUACCCGAAAUGCCAUAAUGUGCUCUCUCCACAUCUGCAUUUCUCUGUGCAUCUGCUUUACUUUUAUCUCUUGACAAUACAGCUUUUUUUGCUUCACAGGUACAAGAUGGGUGGAAAACGACCAUUUCAUCUCUUUUGUGUUUACCUGUUUCCUACUGAAUAGAGCAGCUGGACUGAACCAGAGCUCUUUGUUCCAAGUCCAAAUACCCUUUAAAGGAAAUCUGAUUGCUUCAGGUUGGGUCCGGUAUCAAGGGCUAGUGGAGCAGAAUCAUGUCGUUCUAACACAGUUGCUAAGAAUCCAGUUCUAUGGAUUGGGUAUAGGGCAGAGUUUUUGUCUCCUGAGCUAACUCCCUUUUGGAGGGGAUUGCCUUUUAAGGUAUCCACUACAUUAACCAAGCUCAUCAAAAUCUUAUUAUUUCUAUCUUUGGUGUAAUGCUGAGAAAGUCUUACACUGCCCCAUGAUUGUAUAAACAUUCCUUUUACAUUUUCUUCAUAUAUAUGUUUAAUUAAUUAAUUAAUUAAUUUUUUUGAGACAGCAUCUUGCUCUGUCGCCCAGGCUGGAGUGCAGUGGGAUGAUCAUGGCUCACUGCAACCUCAAGCUCCUAGGCUCAAGUGAUCUUCCUGCUUCUGCCUCCUGAGUAGCUAGGAUUUCAGGCACCCACCACCACACCAGGCUAUUUUUUAAAAUCGUUUUUUGUAGAGACAGGGUCUUGCUAUGUUGCCCAGGCUAGUCUCAAGUCAUUCUCAUGCAUCAGCCUCCCAAAGUGUUAGGAUUACAGGCAUGAGCCACUGUGCCCAGCCUUCUAAUAUUUUUAUGAUUUUUAAAAUUUAAAUAUUUAAUCCACCUGGAAUCUAUUUAGGUACAAAUUAUGCAAUAAGGACCCAGCUUUUGAAAAUAUGAUUAGUUAUCUCACCACCAAUUAUUUAAUAAUUCAUUCUCUUCCCACUGAUUUAAAAUCCCAAAUUUUUUAAUAUACCAAAUUCUUAUAUAUAUAUAUACGUAUACACACAUGCAUGCACAUGGCAGUAUGUGUGUAGUACUGCUUCUGAUCUUUUCCUUGCUUGGUUCAUUACUGUUUUAAAUGUAUAUGUAAUGCUUCAUAACUAGCUUGAAAACAAAUAACUCACACUGGUUUUAAAUUUCUUUAGAGGGCCGGACACUGAGGCUCACACCUGUAAUCCCAGCACUUUGGGAAAUUGAGGCAGGAGGAUCCCUUGAGCUCAGGAGUUCGAGACCAGCCUGGGCAACAUGGCGAAACCUUGUCUUUACAAAAAAUACAAAACUUAGUUGGGCGUGGUGGCACACCUGUAGUCCCAGCUACUUGCUUGAGCCUGGGAAGUCAAGGCUGCAGUGAGCUAUGAUCAUGCCACUGCACUCCAGCCUGGGUGACAAAGCAAGACCCUGUCUUAAAAAAAUAAAAAAAAUUCCUUUAGAGGAACAACUGAUUACACACACACACACACACACACACACACACAUACAUAUAAUCUAGCAGUUUCUUGCAUACUAGAUAAUGAUAACAAUUACAGUUUAUAUAUAAGAAUAUAUACACAUGAUUAAAUUUAAGAUAUAUAUUACUUUAUAGCUUUCAUAAAUUACAUAUCAUCAGGAAAAGAUUAUAUCAAUAUAUUGAUACAUGUUUCUGUGUGAUAGUUUCCAUGGUAACCAUUUAUCUUUUAUUAUUGUUUUAAGUAAUUUCCCUUCCUGAGAGAGGAUUACACAUAUCUCUGCCCAUAAUAACUCACAGUGCCUUUGAUAUGGUCUGGCUGUGUCCCCACCCAAAUCUCAUCUUGAAUUGUACUCCCAUAAUUCCCAUGUGUUGUGGGAGGAACCAGGUGGGAGAUAAUUUGAAUCAUGGGGGUGGCUUCCCCCAUGCUGUUCUCGUGGUAGUGAAUAAGUCUCAUGAGAUCUGAUGGUUUUAUCAGGGGUUUCUGAUGCUUUUGCAUCUUCCUCAUUUUCUCUUGCCAUCGCCAUGUAAGAAGUGCCUUUCACCUUCCGCCGUGACUCUGAGGCCUCCCCAGCCAAACUGUAAGUCCAAUUAAACCUCUUUUUCUUCCCAAUCUCAGGCAUGUCUUUAUCAGCAGCAUGAAAAAGGACUAAUACAGUAAAUUGGUACCAGUAGAGUGGGGCAUUUCUGAAAAGAUACCUGAAAAUGUGGAAGCAACUUUGGAACUGGGUAACAGGCAGAGGUUGGAACAGUUUGGAGGGCUCAGAAGAAGACAGGAAAAUGUGGGAAAGUUUGGAACUUCCUAGAGACUUGUUGAAUGGCUUUGACUGAAAGCCUGAAGCAGUGUGGACAAUAAGGUCCAGGCUGAGGUGGUCUCAGAUGGAGAUGAGGAAUUUGUUGGGAACUGGAGUAAAGAUGACUCUUGUUAUGUUUUAGCAGAGACUGGUGGCAUUUUGCCCCUGCCCUAGAGAUUUGAGGAACUUUAAACUUGAGAGAGAUGAUUUAGGGUAUCUGGAGGAAGAAAUUUCUUUCUUUCUUUUUUUUUUUUUUUUUCCGAGAUGGAGUCUUGCUCUGUCACUGAGGCUGGAGUGCAGUGGCGCGAUCUCAGCUCACUGCAACCUCCGCCUGCCGGGUUUAAGCAAUUCUCCUACCUCAGCCUCCAGAGUAGCUGGGAUUUACGGGUGUGUGCCAUCACACCCAGCUAAUUUUUGUAUUUUUAAUAGAGAUGGGGUUUCACCAUGCUGGCCAGGCUGGUCUCGAGCCCCUGACAUCAGGUGAUCCUCCUGCCUCAGCCUCCCAAAGUGCUGGUAUUACAGGCAUGAGCCACCGCACUGGUGGAGGAAGAAAUUUCUAAGCAGCAAAGCAUUAUUCAAGAGGUGACUUGAGUGCUGUUAAAGGCAUUCAGUUUUAUAAGGGAAGCAGAGCACAAACGUUUGGAAAAUUUGCAGCCUGACAAUGUGAUAGAAAAGAAAAACCCAUUUUCUGAGGAGAAAUUCAAGCUGGCUGCAGAAAUUUGCACAAGUAAGGAGGAACUGAAUGUUAAGCCCCAAGACAAUGGAGAAAAUGUCUCCAGGGCAUGUUGGAGGUCUUCAUGGCAUCCCCUUCUAUCACAGGCCUAGAGGCCUAGGAGAAAAUGGUUUUGUUGACCAGGCCCGGGUCCCUGUGCUGUGUGUAGCCCAGGGACUUGGUGCCCUGUGUCCCAGCUGCUCCAGCUGUGGCUGAAAGGGGCCAACAUAGAGUUUGGGCCGUGGCUUCAGAGGGUGCAAGCCCCAAGCCUUGGCAGCUUCCAUGUGGUGUUGAGUCUGCAAGUCAAGAAUUGGGGUUUGGGAACCUCCGUGUCGAUUUCAGAAAAUGUAUGGAAACACCUGGAUGCCCAGGCAGAAGUUUGCUGCAGGGGCGUUGCCCUCAUGGAGAACCUCUGCUAGGACAGUGCAGAAGGGAAAUGUGGGGUCAGAGCCCCCACAUAGAGUCCCUACUGGGGCACCACCUAGUGGAGCCUUGAGAAGAGGGCCACCGUCCUCUAGACCCCAGAAUGGUAGAUCCACCAACAGCUUGCACUGUGCGCCUGGAAAAGCCACAGACACUCAACACCAGCCUGUGAAAGCAACUGGAGGAAGGGAGGUUGUACCCUGCAAAGCCACAGGGGUGGAGCUGCCCAAGACCAUGGGAACCCACCUCUUGCAUCAGCGUGAUUUGGAUGUGAGACCUGGAGUCAAAGGAGAUCAUUUUGGAACUUUAAAAUUUGAUUGCCACUGGAUUUCGGAUUUGCACGGGCCCUGUAACCCCUUUGUUUUGUCCAAUUUCUACCAUUUGGAAUGGCUGUAUUUACCCAAUACCAGUACACCCAUUGUAUCUAGAAAGUAACUAGCUUGCUUUUGAUUUUACAGGCUCAUAGGCGAAAGGGACUUGCCUUGUCUCAGAUGAGACUUUGGACUGUGGACUUUUGGGUUAAUGCUGAAAUGAGUUAAGACUUUCACGGACUGUUGGGAAGGAACCUGUGGUGAUAAGGAAGAUGUGAGCCUGGAGAUACAGAAGCUACCACAUGAAUGUUAAAAAUGAAGCUGACGCAGCAAAAGGCAGUGCCAAGGAACUAAAAGAAAACAAAUUUUGAUUACAUUUUUGGAGUUCCUGGGUCAAGCAGUUCAUGACACUGAGGCUUUUCCGCUACAUGAAUAAGUACUUUUUCUUUCCCGUUAAAGUGGGUUUGUGCUGGCUUCUCUAUCACUCACAACAACUGGAUACUAACUGAGGCAACACUUCCUACCUCUUACACACAUUACACCCAUAAAACAGAAACAACAUCUAAAAUUAGAUUUCAACACAGCUACCAAGCAGAAAAGUUCAAAUCAACAAGUUAUGGAUAAUGUUUUAUUGAAACUACAUUUCUCCUCCCAAUGUGAGUAUGGUGUUGGCCAACAUGUUGCGUGUUGAUUCUGCUUGCCUUUGUGUCCUACAUAUAGGAUGUGUACUGUGUAAUGAAUCGUUUCUUCAUUAUUUUUCUCAGCUUGCAUGGUUGCCUCCCUCACCUCCAUUCACAGAGCUCACUGUGACAGCAUUCAACCUUGUCUUGGUACAAGUGUGUAAUUUACAUAAUAGUCGCCUCUGUACUUUCCUCAGUAACUUAAACAAAGAAGACCAUCACUCACUGUGCUUGCCUUUCAAAUUAGAUUUGAUAUCAAAUUAAAGUCUCAUUUUAUUAAGUUUCUGAAGCCAAAGUCUUUGACCUAUGAAAGUAUGUUUCAAUUAUGAAUGGAAAAGAGAAGCUUUGUGUUAUUAACAGGAAAAGAAUUCAAGUGUGAUGGUUGUGUCAAUGCCAUUGGGACAUGCCAGUAGUCAGUAACUCAACAGACAAGCCUGCUAGACCUGCUUUACUCAUUUGUGGCGCUGUUUCUUCACUUUCUACUGACUCCCACCUGUGUUUCAUAAUUCUCUACAUUGAUAUGGUUUAUUACUUCUCAUAGGGAUCUUAAAUUAAUUGUGCAACUCGUUAGAGUCUCUUUAUGUAAAAUACAUAGUCUUCAUACUAUUAGAAUGUUACAAUCUGGACCUACCAAUGUGAACAAGUGAAAAAAUGUGCUGUUUAUUUUAACCAGCAGUGGUGUUUUAGUUAGCUAUUUAUCUCCUUAUCUCCCAAAUCUCAAAAACACUCAGUAGUUUACAACAUGAAGCUUUUUUUUUUUUUUUUUUGCUUACAGGUCUGUGGGUCAGCUGGGAUAACUCUGCUUCAGACUGUGGGUCAUCUUGGCUUGGCAGACUUUAGGUUAAACAUAAGACUGUGUGUCUCAUUCUGGGGCCCAGACUGAAGGGAUAGCAGCUAGCUGGUGCAUGCUGUCUUCGUGGCAAUCACAGGGGUGCGAGAGGCGGAGCUGAAGGACGCAAGCACAUUUAAGUCUUUUGCGUGUGUCAUGUUCAAUGACAUUCCAUGUCCAGAGCCAGCUACAUGGGUGGAUCAUGAAUAGAGGGGAGAAAUACACCCCACCCACUUCAGUGAGCUUUAGGUUUACAUGACUGAGGGAUGGAGGGAAGAAUUUUGGACAAUAAUCUCAUCUAGUACAUAUGGCUUCAAUUUGUAUGAACCCUAUCUCUACUCCUCCAACCUUCUGAUCUCAACUGCUAUUGCUAAUAUGACCUGUGGGAGCGAGAGGACUUUCUAUAACUAGGCUGAAUUUUAAAGGAAGAGAAUGACUUCCAGAUAGCUUAUUGGCUAUCAAUCUAGGAGCUCUUACAGCUGAGAAACAUUUUGACCCAACCCUCUGGCUUCUUUGUUGAUUUAUUUUUCUGAUAAAAUUCAUUUUUUUAAAUAUUAAGCUUUAAGAAGUACAUGUGUUUUAAUGCAGUAAAAAAUAAAGCAUAUAUGAUUCAAUCAUUUGUAAAUAUACAGUAUAACUAGUAAGAAAUAAGGGGUCUCAUUCACACCCAGAUUUAUAGGAGCCAGCACUAUGUGCUCGGUAUAUAAUAGAAGCUCAGUUAGUAUUUGUUGAUUGAAGUACCUUUUCUUAUUUACUAAUGAUUAUUAUUAACAGAUAAUAAUUUGGGCCUGAAAUAGACAUUUCCUUUUUUAAUAUAAUUAUAUAUAUGUGCAUAUAUAUAUCAUCAAUAUCCUCUGACUUUAUUAGUGACUGUUAACCACGUCGAAAAAAGUAAAGGUGUUUAUUAUGCAUGCAUAGAAAAAUGAUAUGUUUGUGUUCGCUCUUUUUAGGACCAAGAAAAAAUUAUUGGUUGCUGUUUUCUCAGUUUUGGUUUUUUUUAAAAUAAAUUUUACUGUGUGUAUUUGAGUUUUACAACAUCAACAUCAUGUUAUGAGAUACAUAUAGAUAGUAACAUGAUUACUAUAUUCUCAGUUUUGUUUUAAAAGAAUACUUGUUUAUAUAUCCUUUUGAUGUGGUAAGAGACCUUAGGAGAAUAUCUAAACGGAUAGUUAGAAAUAUGUGUCAAUAUAAGCAAAAUCAAAUUGUCAAGAUUGUAAGUAUCAGCCAAUGAAAAUGCCAGUUAAAAUUACUUUUAAACAGCAUUUAAAAUU
rnacentral:lncRNA from 1 species